UAAUACGGAAGGAGCGAGCAUUGUCCGGAUUUACUAGGCGUAAAGGGCUAGUAGGCGACUAAUUAAGUUAUAUGUUAAAUCCCACGGCUCAACUGUGGUCCUGCAUGUAAUACUGGUUAGAUAGAGUACUGUAGAGGAAGGCAGAAUUCCUGGAGUAGCGGUGGAAUGCGCAGAUAUCAGGAAGAAUACCAAAAGCGAAGGCAGCCUUCUGGGCAGUUACUGACGCUGAAUAGCGAAGGUGUGGGUAGCAAACAGGAUUAGAUACCCUGGUAGUCCACACAGUAAACGAUGAUCACUAGAUGUUGGUGAGUAAAAAAAAUCAUCAGUGUCGAAGUUAACGCAUUAAGUGAUUCGCCUGGGGAGUACGGUCGCAAGAUUG
rnacentral:rRNA from 1 species